rnacentral:misc_RNA from 1 species
GAAAAGCUCUAAUAAAAGUGAGAGACAACUCAAAUUUGAAGCCGGAUUCAUCAAGAAAUAACAACCAUUCAGCUUUAUUCAUCAUUGUGUCACUAUUGUUAAGUAGUUCAGUGUCUCUUAACUUUCUGCUACUGCUAGGUGCUUUUCUGGCUGUGUUCUGCUUUGGUUAUGGGAAAACAAAGAAGAUUCAGUUAGAAACAACGGUGCAAGGAAUAAAUCUGCGAAGUUUCACUUACAGUGAAUUAGAAAAAGCCACAAAUAAAUUCAAGGAAGAAGUCGGUAGGGGUGCUUUCGCAACAGUUUAUAAAGGACUUCUAGCAUUUGACAGUGGAACUGUUGUCGCAGUUAAGAAUCUGGACACAAUGAUGAGAGAAAAUGAGAAGGAACUUAAAACAGAAGUGGGAGCAAU